rnacentral:rRNA from 1 species
GACGAACGCUGGCGGCGUGCUUAACACAUGCAAGUCGAACGGAAAGGCCCUGCUUUUGUGGGGUGCUCGAGUGGCGAACGGGUGAGUAACACGUGAGUAACCUGCCCUUAACUUUGGGAUAACUUCAGGAAACUGGGGCUAAUACCGGAUAGGAGCUCCUGCUGCAUGGUGGGGGUUGGAAAGUUUCGGCGGUUGGGGAUGGACUGCCGGGUUACCAGCUGGUUGGGGGGGUAGUGGCUUACCAAGGCUUUGAUGGGUAGCCGGCCUGAGAGGGGAAACGGCCACAUUGGGACUGAGAGACGGCCCAGACUCCUACGGGAGGCAGCAGGGGGGAAUAUUGCACAAUGGGGGGAAGCCUGAUGCAGCAACGCCGCGUGCGGGAUGACGGCCUUCGGGUUGUAAACCGCUGUAGCCUGUGACGAAGCGUGAGUGACGGUAAUGGGUAAAGAAGCACCGGCUAACUACGUG